CAAUAGCGUAUAUUUAAGUUGUUGCAGUUAAAAAGCUCGUAGUUGGAUUUCGGUUAAGAGCGACCGGUCCGCCGUUUGGUGUGCACUGGUUGGUUUUAACUUCCUGUAGAGGACGUGCUCUGGGUUUAACGACCUGGACUCGGAGUCUACGUGGUUACUUUGAAAAAAUUAGAGUGUUCAAAGCGGGCUUACGCUUGAAUAUUUCAGCAUGGAAUAACACUAUAGGACUCCUGUCCUAUUUCGUUGGUCUCGGGACGGGAGUAGUGAUUAAGAGGAACAGUUGGGGGCAUUCGUAUUUCAUUGUCAGAGGUGAAAUUCUUGGAUUUAUGAAAGACGAACUUCUGCGAAAGCAUUUGCCAAGGAUGUUUUCAUUAA
rnacentral:rRNA from 1 species